CGGGGGCUGCGAGCGGCUGGUGCGGGCGUUCAUGGCGGCGGUCGGAUCUGGCGUGGCGGCGGUCGCGACGAGGCAGGGCGUCGAUGGCGGGCUCCGGUGGCCUGGGCCGGCUCCUGGCUUGGCACUGCGGUGGUGCGGGUCGCAGGUGACAAGGAUCUGCGGGCGGCCGCCCCCUGCCGCGUCGGAACCUUCCUGGUCUGGCUCUCAGACGUCGGCGGACGGCGCGAGGAGGCAUCUCCGGUGAGCUUCCAUGGAUGCAGCUGCGGGUUGAUUUGGUCUCCCUCAUCAGCGGGCACGCGGUUGCCGAUGGCCUCGUGGAGAUGUGUGUCAGCUACCAUGGUGGGGCGACAUGGGAGUGCUCGCGGGGGAGCUUGGUAGGAGGGAUAGGUGUCCUCGAUGCGGUCGUGCCACCUGUCGCCGGCACGGUUUGCCGGUCCGGAUGCGUCCGCUCCUCCUUCUCCCCCUUUCCCCGUGUUCGGCGGGGAGCUUGGUUGGAGGGAUGGGUGGCCUCGAUGCGGUCGCCCCACCUGUCGCCGGCACGGUUUGCCGGUCCGGAUUCGUCCGCUCCCCUUUCUCCCCCUUUCCUCGGCCAUGGGCGGGUUGGCGCAGGUUUACCAGCGGAGCGUCUGCGGGUGGUUCCAUCGGUCGAGGGCCAUCGGUUGGUCCAAAGCUCGGCCCUUUGUGUAGGUCUCGGGGUUGUCUGAUUGCAGGGCGGCGGCUCUGGCGGUGGGAGGCACGAUGUUCGUGGGCAGAGCGUGCGUCUCAGGUGCGGGCAGGCAAACAUGGCCGCGUGGGUGGCGUGGUUGCGGGUGGUUGACGGAGUUAAGGUUCAAAGGUGGGGUGUGAGUGUCGGGGUACACUACUUGUCCGGUCCUUUGACUGGCCGACGGUGGCGGUGGCCAUUGCCGCCGUACCCUUCCUGAAGGCUCCGUCGCGGCGUUCCCACUCUUGUCGUCUUGCUCUGGGUGAAAACCUGAUCUUCGCUGAUCGCGCGGUGGCGGCUAUCCAUGGUCGUAUCCUUCUUGGAGGCACCGCUUUGGAGGCCAGGCUUUGUUUUGGUCCAGUUCACCUCUGGUGGGGUGGUGUGUCGGUGUCUGGCACCUUUGUAUCUUGCCUUGGGUGUGUGCGGUGUGUGCGUUGUUCGGUAUCUCGAAUGUACUCGGUGAUGUUUGCUUUAUAAUAUAAAGCGGGGGGAAACCCUUUUUCGGUAUUAGAAGCUGUUAAAGCAAUUGCACAAUUCGUCUAGAAAACCAUAGCUGAAAGCUUAACCUAGCCGUUCCUUCAAAAUUUUCUUAUAACAUCUAAUGGUAGGUUCCUGAUCCUAAGGUUCUGGCUUUUGAACGAUCUAAUAUGAUCACGUACUUGGUUUGGUGACUAGUUAGAUAUAAAACAAUGAUAUGUUUGCUUUAUAAUAUAAAGCGGGGAAACCCUUUUUCAGUAUUAGAAGCUGUUAAAGCAAUUGCACAAUUCGUCUAGAAAACCAUAGCUGAAAGCUUAACGUAGCCGUUCCUUCAGCUUUUGAACGAUCUAAUAUGAUCACGUACUUGGUUUGGUGACUGGUUAGAUAUAAAACAAUGAUAUCCCCCGCCCCCCCGAAAUGUAAUAUACUUGCAAUUAUUUGUAUUUUUAUCAUGGAACGCCUUUUUGUCUUGUCACCGUGUUUUUCCAUGAUUGAGAUAAACUGCAUCGAAUAUUCAUACAUAAACUUGCUGUUGCCGCUUGUCUACGAAUCGUUACUAAUUCAAUAAUAUAAGCGGCUAGCAGUAUGUGGCAAUGGUGUGGUGGUUCAUUAAUCAACAGUAAUUCCAUUGACGUAUGCAAGGGUUUUUUUGUUGCUAUCAUCCCAACUUAACACAUGAUGAUUGCAAAGAACAUUCCAAUUGGAUGCCCUGUGAACACAUCCACUGCUAGUCAAGUCAAGCUGUGUAUGCAUAUCUAAUUUCUGCAAUGUGUGACCAUGGGACAUUGCAGCCACCUCAUUAGCAAAUUAUUUAGAUCUGCAAUAGUUGACUAGGAAUAUAAUAUAUGAUAAUCUGAACACUAUUAUUUUCUCCUCGCAUUAUGCGGUUACAAGACACACUUUGUCCAGCGAAAAGAAAAUGUAUUUGUUACUCAAAAUGGUAGUUUAGGUCUCAGAUUAUGGCUUUUGUCCCUUCGUGUUGUCUUGACUAGUUACAACUUUCAGUUCGUCUGCUUGCUCAAUAUCAGGAUUCGUCUUGGGUGCUUCCUUGCAUUUGCUGUAAAUGCAGUACACGACCAACUGAAGAAUACCCAUUAAGCAGCCAAUGAAGCUUGGUGCCUUUACAAGAAAACAAGUAUGUCAGCAUAAUUUAUAUAUUUUAUUGUUCUAAAGUUUCUUUCUGUACUAACCGUGAGAAAAGGAUCCUUUCCAAGGAGCCCAUACAGCAACCAGAGUAAACUUGUCAAGAAGCUAAACAAUGACAAGUAGAAAGGCAUGAACUCCACGCUUUUCGUCCUGAUAACUUGUUUCUGCAAUGUUGGAUAAAAAGUUAAUUUUCUUGCCAUGCCUUCUGUCUAACUGAAUAUAUUUUUUCUGAAGUACUUUGGAAACUGAUAUAAGUUCAUUGAACCAUUUUUAGAUAUUGUGGAACAUACGAUAUUUUAUACUACUUAUCACAUGCGUUUGUGGAUCAUUCUGUCAGGCUUAGAACGUUGUUGCAAAUCAUUAUGAUGAAACAUGUUGUUCUUUUCUCUGUGAAUCAUAGUUCAGGAAGCACGCUAAUAACAGUACUCACCACAGCUACCAACGGAGAGCCAUACAUUAAUAUGGAAGCCACCAAACCAAUGCUACCGACAAAUACUUUACGCAUUUGGUGGGUGUGGAAUGAGAAAAUUGAGAAAAAUACAGCCAUGCCGAAGAUGAUUAGAAUUGGAGAUACCAUCAUCAUGACAAGCUUCUGCAAAAGAUUGCCAGUUAAGUGUUAGGAUUACUAAUGGAUAAUAAUUCUUAUAACAUCAUAUACGCAUCUAAACAGCGAACUACUCGCCAUUUUAAUUAUAAGAUUUUAACUACAAUCGUGAAAUAGUACCUAUAAAGCCUAGGGGUAACUAUGAAAUAAUAUAUUCUCUUUUUUGCAUCAGAAGGCUGGUGUUUGGUCCUCCUUACAUGGUUCAGCAAGAGUGAAAGCGACAUUUUAUAAAUAGAAACAUAAAGUGCUCUUGUCCUUAGUCAAUCAUGCUUACAACUAAGCAUAAAGUGUUAUUGUCCUUAGGCAACUAUGCUUAUAAUUUACAGAUUUAUGUUCUUAAAUUCACUACUCACUAAGUCACUAGUAACUAGAUUCUUUUCCUUCAUUUCCCUAAACAAUAACUGUUGCUUUUUCCAAAUCAUAUUUACAAUGAAGCAUCUGGUCCCCGAUGAUAGAGACUAUCACUAUAUUACUUAAUUGCGUACCUACACAUGUAUACAACCUCUUCUGUCACAUUAAUAUGCAAGAGUUAGGCCUCAGUACAUGUUUAUGUUUAGAGAUAAAAGAAAAUUAACAAUAUCUGAUUGAGAUUCUGUGAUUAUUAUAUAGCUUAUGAAUUUCCAAUUUAUGUGAAUGUGAUAAAUUAGGAGUAAAUAUGUGCUUAUUGCUUCUUAUCAUUUCGUCCAGGGAAACAAGGCUCUCACUUCUACUUUCGUAGUUUUGCUGAUUCAAUUUAUCAUUUCCAAGCAAGGUUGUUGCCUUUGUAUAUAGUUGUAUAUAUCAACUAUGAUAUGCUAAUGGAAAUGAACACGAAAUUUUGACAGACACUGGCAUCCAUAUUUUCUUACCGCAAAGUUACUGACAUGCUAAUGGAAGGAGAAUCACAGAUCUUGAGAAAUA
rnacentral:lncRNA from 1 species